rnacentral:rRNA from 1 species
UACGUAGGGUGCAAGCGUUAAUCGGAAUUACUGGGCGUAAAGCGUGCGCAGGCGGUUGGUUAAGACAGAUGUGAAAUCCCCGGGCUCAACCCUGGAAUUGCCUUCUAAACUGGCGACCUUGAGUAUGGCAGAGGUGUGUGGAACUCCGAGUGUAGAGGUGAAAUUCGUAGAUAUUCGGAAGAACACCAGUGGCGAAGGCGACACACUGGGCCAUUACUGACGCUGAGGCGCGAAAGCGUGGGGAGCAAACAGG